rnacentral:rRNA from 1 species
AACGAACGCUGGCGGCAGGCCUAACACAUGCAAGUCGAGCGAGCAUUUCGGUGCUAGCGGCGGACGGGUGAGUAACGCGUGGGAACGUGCCCUUUUCUGCGGAAUAGUCCUGGGAAACUGGGGGUAAUACCGCAUACGCCCUUUUGGGGAAAGAUUUAUCGGAGAAGGAUCGGCCCGCGUUGGAUUAGGUAGUUGGUGGGGUAAUGGCCCACCAAGCCGACGAUCCAUAGCUGGUUUGAGAGGAUGAUCAGCCACACUGGGACUGAGACACGGCCCAGACUCCUACGGGAGGCAGCAGUGGGGAAUCUUAGACAAUGGGGGCAACCCUGGUCUAGCCAUGCCGCGUGAGUGAUGAAGGCCUUAGGAUUGUAAAGCUCUUUCAGCUGGGAAGAUAAUGACGGUACCAGCAGAAGAAGCCCCGGCUAACUCCGUG